rnacentral:miRNA from 1 species
UCAAAACUGAACCGAAAAUGCAAGACUUGCUUUAAUUCUUUCCUUCAAUUUCUUUCUGUAUUAUUUACUAUAAUGGAACUCAUGUUAUUUACACUGUGCUAGAUCAAUACAUAUAAACACUGACAGAAAACAAUUAAAGCAAGUCUUGCAUUUUCGGUUCAGUUUUGA